rnacentral:lncRNA from 1 species
UCUACUCAGAACAUGGGUUCUUCUGCAGUACAAUUGUUUCUCAUCUUGGGGCUUCUGGCUACUUCUUGCAUAGCACAAGCCCCAGGUGGCGCACCCACGCAGCCUCCCACAACCACCCCACCACCACCGCCCGCAGCAGCACCAGUACCUGCACCCACUGCACCCGCAACUCCACCACCAUCUUCACCACCACCUGCACCCACACCCGCACCCACACCAACUGCUCCCACUCCUGCUCCAGCUUCUUCUCCUUCAUCUGCUGCAUCUCCCUCAGCUGAGUCACCAGGCUCUCCUACAUCUCCCCCAGCACCACCGGCCCCCUCAUCUGCACCUUCACCCUCAGUCAGCGAACCACCACCCUCACCCUCCUCCGCAUUCUCCGUUGGCAAGGCCUUCGUUGCCGGGUCUGCGCUCGCGGGAACCUUCGUAGCCAUGGUCUUGGCUUGAAGACAGACCUGACGGUUGGGAUUCGUCCACGUGGAGGCUCUUGGGCCCUUGAUCUUGUUUUACAGCGACGGACGGACGGACGGGAUCUGUUUCAUUUAUUUUAUCCUCUGGUCUUGUUGAGUAGCGGUUUUCUUUUUCUCUCUUUGGGGUUUUAUGUGUUAGUUUUGUUCGUUCGUGGUUGAUGUGUUUGUUGAUUCGAUAUCUGGGAGGGUUGGGUGUUGAUGAUGAUGAUGAUGAUGAUGAUGAUGGUGAUGGUAUUCAUGAUUAUGAUGAUUAUUUUGUGAUUCAUUGUUCUGGUGUUCACACGUGUACGUAGAUGACCUUGAUGAUUUCAUUGUACAUCUAAUAAUUGAAAGAAUAAAACAGUUUGUCAUUCUUUUUACUUACAAUCUUGUUCC